GUGCUUGCUUUGUCAGCAUAUAUACUAAAACUGAAACAAUACAAAAAAGAUUAUUGUAACCCCUGUGCAAGGAUAACAUACAAAUUCUUAAAAUGUUUCAUAUUUUU
rfam:Canis lupus familiaris chromosome 8, whole genome shotgun sequence.